UUUUAGCGAUAAACCAGGGAUUGGGAACGUCUGGCCCGUGGGCUGUAUGAGGCCCGCAGAAUCUUUUGGUCUGGCCCUGCCAAGGCAUUAGGGGUGAGUUAAUUAAAUGUUUGACCAAAUAGAGCAGGCUCAUUUUUAAGUGGAAAG